UGGCGGCAGGCUUAACACAUGCAAGUCGAGCGGUAGCAGAUCUAGCUUGCUAGAUGCUGACGAGCGGCGACGGGAGAGUAACGCGUAGGAACCUGCCCAGUAGUGGGGGAUAGCCCGGGGAAACUCGGAUUAAUACCGCAUACGCUCUACGGAGGAAAGAGGGGGCUUCGGCUCUCGCUAUUGGAUGGGCCUGCGUGAGAUUAGCUAGUUGGUGAGGUAAUGGCUCACCAAGGCGACGAUCUCUAGCUGGUCUGAGAGGAUGAUCAGCCACACUGGGACUGAGACACGGCCCAGACUCCUACGGGAGGCAGCAGUGGGGAAUAUUGCACAAUGGGCGCAAGCCUGAUGCAGCCAUGCCGCGUGUGUGAAGAAGGCUUUCGGGUUGUAAAGCACUUUCAGUGGGGAGGAAGGCCUCGUAGUUAAUAGCUGCGAGGAUUGACGUUACCCACAGAAGAAGCACCGGCUAACUCCGUG
rnacentral:rRNA from 1 species